rnacentral:rRNA from 1 species
CCUACGGGAGGCAGCAGUGGGGAAUAUUGCACAAUGGGCGCAAGCCUGAUGCAGCCAUGCCGCGUGUGUGAAGAAGGCCUUCGGGUUGUAAAGCACUUUCAGCGGGGAGGAAGGCGGUGAGGUUAAUAACCUCAUCGAUUGACGUUACCCGCAGAAGAAGCACCGGCUAACUCCGUGCCAGCAGCCGCGGUAAUACGGAGGGUGCAAGCGCUAAUCGGAAUUACUGGGCGUAAGGCGCACGCAGGCGGUCUGUCAAGUCGGAUGUGAAAUCCCCGGGCUCAACCUGGGAACUGCAUUCGAAACUGGCAGGCUAGAGUCUUGUAGAGGGGGGUAGAAUUCCAGGUGUAGCGGUGAAAUGCGUAGAGAUCUGGAGGAAUACCGGUGGCGAAGGCGGCCCCCUGGACAAAGACUGACGCUCAGGUGCGAAAGCGUGGGGAGCAAACAGGAUUAGAACCCUGGUAGUC